rnacentral:rRNA from 1 species
UACGGAGGGUGCAAGCGUUGUCCGGAUUUACUGGGCGUAAAGAGCGCGCAGGCGGUCGUACAAGUCGCGUGUGAAAGCCCCCGGCUCAACUGGGGAGGGUCACGCGAUACUGUUCGACUCGAAGGCAGGAGAGGGAAGCAGAAUUCCCGGUGUAGUGGUGAAAUGCGUAGAUAUCGGAAGGAACGCCGGUGGCGAAAGCGGCGUGCUGGACCUCUUCUGACGCUGAGGCGCGAAAGCUAGGGGAGCAAACGGG